CUGCUAGAUACCCUACUCAUCUCCUGACCAUGAGUAGCUGUUUAGACCAAUCCAUGUGAUACUUCCACGAAUUAUUUGAAUUCUAUCUCCUUUGAUGUCCACCCCAAUUCAAUAAACAAUUAGUCCAGCGCUGCUGUGCUCUCCCUCUCAAUCUAUGUCUGUAUCUAUGUACGUAUCUCUCGUUGUCCUCUCUCUGCAAUCUCUAUCUAGUUGACGAAGCAAAUAGAUCUCAAAGAGGCAAGAGGGAGCUUUAGGAGAGGACACGCAGACGCACUUAAUAAUAAUAGCAACGUGUUUGCUUUCUGUUCCAAUUUUUCUAGAGAGAUCAGAAGAAGCUCUCAGUUUCCAGGCAAAGUGGUGGAGAGAGGAAGAG
rnacentral:misc_RNA from 1 species